rnacentral:lncRNA from 1 species
AGGGUCACAGGCAAUGCCAGACCAGUUGCAGUGAUGAUUAGCCACCGUCCAAUCUGCAAGUGCUCCUAAAGGGUCAUGAGUGACAGAUCUUUUGAACGCCUGAAGCGCCUCAACUUCAACUUCCAAGCUUGGUUCGGCAUGCAGCACAGUAAGUAAAACAGAACAAACUAUAACAAUGAUUAAACUGACACAUUUUGACAUCACUGCUAGCUAAGGUAAUGGUAAUGCUGAAGCUGGUUUGAAAGGAACUAUCGUAACUGAUGAUGAAUUUGGAUUCAAAGUCAGGCUUAUAUGCAAAUUUCAACCAAUCUUUGAUCCCUGGAAGCCAAAAUGAGUGUCAUAUCAUUGACCUUUUAACUCAAUCCAGAAUAUGAUAACAAACUGAAUUGUCUUUGACAGUGAAAAGAUACGUACAAAGUUCAAACCCCACCUAUGUUCAGAAGCUAAGAAGGAGAGGAUUUCAAGUCUAAACACUUGACUGACCCACCUACCAGCGAAAGUGUGUAUUAAUACAAGUGGGAGAUGGUAAUGAUAAUGUCGUUUAGUGAGUGUAAUCAAUGGGAAUCUAGAACGUGACGUGGGAAUCCGGGAAACUCCACUCUUCCAACUAGUAAAUGCUUAGUUGACUCCGCAGCAAAUGUUGAAUGUGUAAAUGUAGGUAAUGGCGGUAGCACCAUUAUGGCAAGUUGAACGAAAAAUGCCAAUGGAAGGAUGGGUUGGGAUUUUAUACUUGGUGCCAAAAGGAUAAUGUCUAAUUUUGUGCUAGCACAUGGUACGUAGUUUCCAUCUCUAUCAUUAAUAUAUCACAGUAAACACAUACAAUUAGAGUAAAAAAAUCUAAUGUAAUCCAUGGUUUUCUGAAUUUUGCAGAAUUUAUUGCGACUGAUUUGCAAUAAUAAAGCCAGAUUAAGCUAUGGUCCAAGGAAUCUGACAACCUAUUCAGAUUUGCGUCUGUUAUCACCAAAUCCUAUCUUCAAUUGAUUCUGGUUUGAUCCACGGUUUCUGAGCAACUUGGACUGCCUUUUUUCGUUUCAUUUUUUUAAUAAGGUUUAAUUCCGAACUAUGCGUGUAUUAUUUUUUUUCUUGGAUUAGUAUUAAUAUAUCAAUUUGUUAUUUGGCUCGGUCGCAUUGAGCUGCAAUCAAAUUGUGGGAUGUGGUAAUUAAAUUUAUUUAAAAUAAAAAAGUUAAAUUUAAAUUUUAAAAA